rnacentral:misc_RNA from 1 species
AACGCACGAGACCUGCGGACCUGCGGAGGGAUCAUUAAUGAGAAGCUGCCCCUCGUGGGUAGACCUCCCACCCUCUGUGAACUUACCUUUGUUGCUUUGGCAGGCCCGUCCUCUGGACCGCCGGCUUCGGCUGGCCCGUGCCUGCCAGAGGAUUCCAAACCCUGUCUGUCAGUGUUGUCUGAGUCUAUAUGAAAUCGUUAAAACUUUCAGCAAUGGAUCUCUAGAUCGGAAGAGCACACG